UGGGGAAUAUUGCACAAUGGGCGCAAGUCUGAUGCAGCCAUGCCGCGUGUAUGAAGAAGGCCUUCGGGUUGUAAAGUACUUUCAGUCGGGAGGAAGGUGGUAAGGUUAAUAACCUUAUCAAUUGACGUUACCGACAGAAGAAGCACCGGCUAACUCCGUGCCAGCAGCCGCGGUAAUACGGAGGGUGCAAGCGUUAAUCGGAAUUACUGGGCGUAAAGCGCACGCAGGCGGUCUGUCAAGUCGGAUGUGAAAUCCCCGGGCUCAACCUGGGAACUGCAUUCGAAACUGGCAGGCUAGAGUCUGGGAGAGGGGGGUGGAAUUCCGGGUGUAGCGGUGAAAUGCGUAGAGAUCUGGAGGAAUACCGGUGGCGAAGGCGGCCCCCUGGACAAAGACUGACGCUCAGGUGCGAAAGCGUGGGGAGCAAACAGG
rnacentral:rRNA from 1 species